AUUGAACGCUGGCGGCAUGCUUUACACAUGCAAGUCGAACGGCAGCGCGGGCUUCGGCCUGGCGGCGAGUGGCGAACGGGUGAGUAAUACAUCGGAACGUGCCCAGUAGUGGGGGAUAGCUCGGCGAAAGCCGGAUUAAUACCGCAUACGACCUGAGGGUGAAAGCGGGGGUUCUUCGGACCUCGCGCUAUUGGAGCGGCCGAUGGCAGAUUAGCUAGUUGGUGGGGUAAAGGCCUACCAAGGCGACGAUCUGUAGCUGGUCUGAGAGGACGACCGGCCACACUGGGACUGAGACACGGCCCAGACUCCUACGGGAGGCAGCAGUGGGGAAUUUUGGACAAUGGGCGAAAGCCUGAUCCAGCAAUGCCGCGUGUGUGAUGAAGGCCUUCGGGUUGUAAAGCACUUUUGGCGGGAACGAAAAGGACUGUGCCAAUACCACGGUUCGAUGACGGUACCCGCAGAAUAAGCACCGGCUAACUACGUG
rnacentral:rRNA from 1 species